rnacentral:rRNA from 1 species
GACGAACGCUGGCGGCGCGCUUAACACAUGCAAGUCGAACGGAAAGGCCUGCUUUCCCUUGUGGAUUGCGGGUACUCGAGUGGCGAACGGGUGAGUAACACGUGAGUGAUCUGCCCCCAACUUGGGUAUAAGCCUGGGAAACUGGGUCUAAUUCCCGAUAGGACUGCAGGGUGGUGCCUGUGGUGGAAAACGAUUUUCUAGUGGUUGGGGAUGAGCUCGCGGCCUAUCAGCUUGUUGGUGGGGUAAUGGCCUACCAAGGCGGCGACGGGUAGACGGCCUGGGAUGGUGGACAGUGGCAUUGGGACUGGGAUACGGCUCAGACUGCUACGGGAGGCAGCGGUGGGGAAGAUUGCGGCAUGGGCGGGAGCCUGCAGCAGCGACGCCGCGUGGAGGAUGACGGCCUUCGGGUUGUAAGCUCCUUUCGACCGCGAGGAAGCCACGUGGUUGGAAGGGUGGUGACGGUAGUGGUAGAAGAAGCACCGGCUAACUACGUG